ACACAAUUUUGAUUCACAAAUCUCUUUGCUUCGUUAUCUUUUUUUCUAGAUGCAAGAAAUUCCAUCUAGAGAAAGAGUAACAAGCAAUUAACCCCCUUUCUAUGACGAAAAAUCUUUACAAAAGAAUGGAAGAAAAGGAAUGUGUUUCGUCACAAUCCGUUUCAACCGUUUUUUUCCUUUACCCAACUUUUUUACCCCUUUUACAACAUGUAAUAGACUGAAAACAAAAAUCAUAUUCUAGAUCUCUAGAAUCUAAAACUAAGAAAA
rnacentral:misc_RNA from 1 species